UAAGGAAUAUUGGUCAAUGGACGCAAGUCUGAACCAGCCAUGCCGCGUGAAGGAAGACGGCCCUACGGGUUGUAAACUUCUUUUGUACGGGAAAAAACCACCGGUCGAGCAUCGGUGCUGAUGGUACCGUAAGAAUAAGCAUCGGCUAACUCCGUGCCAGCAGCCGCGGUAAUACGGAGGAUGCAAGCGUUAUCCGGAUUCAUUGGGUUUAAAGGGUGCGCAGGCGGAAUGAUAAGUCAGUGGUGAAAUCUCCCGGCUCAACCGGGAAACUGCCAUUGAUACUGUCGUUCUUGAGUACAGUUGAAGUGGGCGGAAUGUGUCAUGUAGCGGUGAAAUGCUUAGAUAUGACACAGAACACCGAUAGUGAAGACAGCUCACUAAGCUGUAACUGACGCUCAUGCACGAAAGCGUGGGGAUCAAACA
rnacentral:rRNA from 1 species